AGCGGGGUGGGGAAGCCAGGUUAUCCCGGCGGGCUCAUAACCCGCAGAGCGGUUACUUGUUACGUAUGCGCGUACAUGCCGUAAGUUCAAAUCAACCCCCCGCUA
rnacentral:tRNA from 1 species